rfam:Triticum aestivum genome assembly, contig: Triticum_aestivum_CS42_TGACv1_scaffold_227648_3B
CUAGUACUUCCUCCAUCCCAAAAUUCUUGUUUUAGAUUUGCCUAGAUACGGAUGUAUCUAAUAUUAAAAGGUGACUUGAUACAUCCGUAUUCAAACAAAUCUGAGACAAGAAUUUUGACACGAAGGGAGUACGAA